rnacentral:misc_RNA from 1 species
GAGUAAUACCGUAUCAUUAAUUCAUAGUAGAUUCUCUUUAAUUCCAAAAGUGAUGGUAUAUCGGCAGGGGCCUCUUCAACAACAUUAUCACCUUCCUUGGGUUUCUUCUUUUCUUUGGAAGUAUCAGCGUCAAAUACUCUUGGACUAAUCUUCCUAGAGAGAAUUUGUGCACGAACAUAAUCUUGGCGGUCUAGGCAUAGACGAACUUGUUCAAGAAUGAAAGCAAUUUUCUC